AUGUAGGCAUAAUGCAUUAACAGCAACGUGCCCGAAGAAUGCGUGCAAACAGGAAAGUAAUUAGGGUAGCAAAGUUUAUUGAAUGCGAAGUUGAGUCAUGAAAUGAUAGGCAGUACAUAGGAUAUAUGUAAGCAUGAGGAAAUCCCAAGAGACUUGUCGUGCAACCGGCACUCAUCAAAUACAAACCAUCAAAACAAAUACGAAAAUGUCGCUGAACUAAUAAAAUGGCAUUGCUACACCCACCCGUCAAACGUUGCUUCGGCCAAUUGGUGCAACUUAUGACAUCAACACAUUCUAAAGACAUUAGCUUUUUGUUACAGUCAAUCGGGAGCAAUAUUUCUUCCAUACCAUAUAUAUGACUUCAAACAUGUUUUCGAAUACAUAAACCUGAUUAAUGGUUGUUAAAGCUUCUUUCAAAGCAUGAAGAAAUUUAGUUAUUUAUGACAUUCUUUUGACUUCACAUAUACAUAUGUAUAUAUGUAAGAGCCAAUUUACAAAUAUUUGAUUAGCAUAUACUGAGAACAAAUUCAGUUACAAAAUGAACUAAUGUACCAUAUUAUGAACUUUAGAAUAUCUAGAUUUUAUUUGAUUUAAAGAUGCACUAUUAUUGUCAAUAUUCGCAUAUUUAUAUACCUAGAUACAAAGUAUUUCUUUAAUAAAUUAGAAAAUUUCC